UGCGUAGAGUGCAAUAGCAUAAGGGUGCUUGACUGUGAGACUAACAAGUCGACCAGGUAGGAAACUAGGAUAUAGUGAUCCGGUGGUUCCGUAUGGAAGGGCCAUCGCUCAAAGGAUAAAAGGUACUCCGGGGAUAACAGGCUGAUCACCGCCAAGAGCUCAUAUCGACGCGGUGGUUUGGCACCUCGAUGUCGGCUCGUCACAUCCUGGGGCUGAAGAAGGUCCCAAGGGUUCGGCUGUUCGCCGAUUAAAGUGGCACGUGAGCUGGGUUCAGAACGUCGCGAGACAGUUCGGUCCCUAUCUGUUGUGGGCGUUGGAAGUUUGAGAUCACCUGACUCUAGUACGAGAGGACCGAGUUGGACGAACCUCUGGUGUAUCUGUUGUGGUGCCAACUGCAUCGCAGAGUAGCUACGUUCGGAUGAGAUAAGCGCUGAAAGCAUCUAAGUGCGAAACUCAGAUCAAGAUGAGACUUCCUUUAAGGGUCGUUCAAGACUAGGACGUUGAUAGGCUGUAGGUCUAAAGGCAGUAAUGUCAAAGCCGAGCAGUACUAAUUACCCGUAUGCUUUCUACUU
rnacentral:rRNA from 1 species